GCCCUUCGGGGCAGGGAGACAGGUGGUGCAUGGUUGUCGUCAGCUCGUGUCGUGAGAUGUUAGGUUAAGUCCUGCAACGAGCGCAACCCUUAUCAUUAGUUGCUACCAUUAAGUUGAGCACUCUAGUGAGACUGCCCGGGUUAACCGGGAGGAAGGUGGGGAUGACGUCAAAUCAUCAUGCCCCUUAUGUCUAGGGCUACACACGUGCUACAAUGGUGAGUACAGAAAGAUGCAAGACCGUGAGGUGGAGCAAAACUUUUAAAACUCAUCUCAGUUCGGAUUGUAGGCUGAAACUCGCCUACAUGAAGCUGGAGUUGCUAGUAAUCGCGAAUCAGCAUGUCGCGGUGAAUACGUUCCCGGGCCUUGUACACACCGCCCGUCACACCAUGAGAGCUGGCAACACCCGAAGUCCGUGAGGUAACCGUAAGGAGCCAGCGGCCGAAGGUGGGGUUAGUAAUUGGGGUGAAGUCGUAACAAGGUAGCCGUAGGAGAACCUGCGGCU
rnacentral:rRNA from 1 species